CCUACGGGAGGCAGCAGUGAGGAAUAUUGGUCAAUGGGCGCUAGCCUGAACCAGCCAAGUAGCGUGAAGGAUGACUGCCCUAUGGGUUGUAAACUUCUUUUAUAUGGGAAUAAAGUGAAGUAUGUAUACUGCUUUGCAUGUACCUUAUGAAUAAGGAUCGGCUAACUCCGUGCCAGCAGCCGCGGUAAUACGGAGGAUUCGAGCGUUAUCCGGAUUUAUUGGGUUUAAAGGGAGCGUAGGCGGGUUGUUAAGUCAGUUGUGAAAGUUUGCGGCUCAACCGUAAAAUUGCAGUUGAUACUGGCAGCCUUGAGUACAGUAGAGGUAGGCGGAAUUCGUGGUGUAGCGGUGAAAUGCUUAGAUAUCACGAAGAACUCCGAUUGCGAAGGCAGCCUGCUGGACUGUAACUGACGUUGAUGCUCGAAAGUGUGGGUAUCAAACAGGAUUAGAUACCCUAGUAGUC
rnacentral:rRNA from 1 species